CUACGGGUGGCUCCAGUGGGGAAUAUUGCACAAUGGGCGCAAGCCUGAUGCAGCCAUGCCGCGUGUAUGAAGAAGGCCUUCGGGUUGUAAAGUACUUUCAGCGGGGAGGAAGGGAGUAAAGUUAAUACCUUUGCUCAUUGACGUUACCCGCAGAAGAAGCACCGGCUAACUCCGUGCCGGCAGCCGCGGUAAUACGGUGGGUGCAAGCGUUAAUCGGAAUUACUGGGCGUAAAGCGCACGCAGGCGGUUUGUUAAGUCAGAUGUGAAAUCCCCGGGCUCAACCUGGGAACUGCAUCUGAUACUGGCAAGCUUGAGUCUCGUAGAGGGGGGUAGAAUUCCAGGUGUAGCGGUGAAAUGCGUAGAGAUCUGGAGGAAUACCGGUGGCGAAGGCGGCCCCCUGGACGAAGACUGACGCUCAGGUGCGAAAGCGUGGGGAGCAAACAGGAUUAGAUACCCGUGUAGUC
rnacentral:rRNA from 1 species